UGGAGAAAAUAUCUGGAACAUGAUUGGGUAGGCUGUAUUAACCACUAAAAGGGGUGGUGGUUGUAGUCACACAAAGGAGGAAGCAACAAUGCUGUGUAAUACCUGUUAUAACGAAGAGGAGGAUGGGGAAGUGGGGAAACACAGUUCAGCGGCAUACAAACUCCUGGAGAAGAAUCAACUCUGUCCUUAGUCAUUCCAGAGGGUUGUGACUGAUUUGGGAAAAUAUGGGAGGGGCAUGGUUCUCAUGAGUUGUGGAUGAAGAAAGAGAUGUUGCCACUAUGGAUACAGAACCUGCAAUAUAGACACCCGUAAACAGAGUCUGGAAUAUGGGAGGGGCUUGGUUCUAUUUUGUAAAGCUUUAUAUACAGGCUGCACCUCUUUGUUGCCUAUAUAUAUUAUACUAGUUUCUACUAUAAAAAAAGAUGAUAAGAUGAGAAAAAGCAACAUACAAAUCUUGUUCUGUAAUCAACGCAUCAACUUGUAUUGCAUUUUCCCAGAGAGUGAUAGUUGAACUAUUUGUCCUGCUUGAAUUUUUUAUGGUUGUUUAGUUUAUUGGUUUAAGAAGUCUGCUUACAGUAAUAAAUGUGCAAAUGGCAGGGUUAUUGUAACUUUCUUCCUGAGGAAACAUUGCUG
rnacentral:lncRNA from 1 species